UACAAAGGUAUUGUAAUAAGAUUUUAAUUGAAUGCUAAGAGAAUGAAGAUUUAGAAAAAAACUUUUUUAAAAAUAAAAAUUGAAUUUUUUUUAAUUUGUGCAAAAACAAUUAUUUAUAUUAAAGACAAGAAGACCCUAAGAAUUUUUUAAUUCAAUAACUUUAAAUAAAAUUUUAUUGAAUGUUGAUUGGGGCAAUCAAAAAAUAUCAAUAACUUUUUAAUAAAUAAAAUGAUCCAUUAUUAAUGAUUAUAUGAAAUAAAUACUCUAGGGAUAACAGCGUAAUAAUUUUUGAUAGCUCUUAUUGACAAAAUAGUUUGCGACCUCGAUGUUGGAUUAGGAUACUUUUUUGAUGGAGAAAUUGAAAAAAGAAGUUUGUUCAACUUUUAAAAUCCUACUUGAUCUGA
rnacentral:rRNA from 1 species